GACGAACGCUGGCGGCGUGCCUAACACAUGCAAGUCGAACGGAUGGAUUUAGAAGCUUGCUUCUAAUGAAGUUAGUGGCGGACGGGUGAGUAACGCGUGGGUAACCUGCCCAUCAAAUCGGGAUAACAUCGUGAAAACGGUGCUAAUACCGGAUACACUUAUUGAACCGCAUGGUUUGAUAAGGAAAGGUGGCCUCUGAAAAUGCUACCGAUGAUGGAUGGACCCGCGUCUGAUUAGCUAGUUGGUGGGGUAACGACCUACCAAGGCGACGAUCAGUAGCCGGCCUGAGAGGGUGAACGGCCACACUGGGACUGAGACACGGCCCAGACUCCUACGGGAGGCAGCAGUGGGGAAUCUUCCGCAAUGGACGAAAGUCUGACGGAGCAACGCCGCGUGAGUGAGGAAGGCCUUCGGGUUGUAAAACUCUGUCUUUAAGGAAGAAUGUCAUCUUUGUGAAUAAUGAGGGUGAAUGACGGUACUUGAGGAGGAAGCCCCGGCUAACUACGUGCCAGCAGCCGCCGUAAUAC
rnacentral:rRNA from 1 species